CACAGGCUUCAGCGUUCGGCAGGGCCAUCAAUCUGCUUGCACAGCGCUUGCUGGCCUGCGUCUGGGUGUGGCACCCAUGUUUGGAGCCGCCCAUUGCUGUAGCUCAGCAAAGCACAUCCGGGUCAGGAGAGUCACUGCGCACUGCUCCAGCCCCCCAACACAGCAGGACCUGUGGGAGCGUCUCCACGCCCUUCCUCUGGGCACCGAGCACAGUCAGCCGUCCCCCCGCCCCAGCCCCGUCGGACUAUAUUACCAUACAUGGUGUAGCCGUGACAGUAGCUGCGCUGGGCUGCGUGAGCUGCUCACAUCGGGGGAAAGGAGACAGAGAGGCUCUGUGCAGUGCUGAUAGCACACAGCUGGAACACAGCUGCCGCUGCUGGCCUGGAAUAACGCAGACAAGAAAGGAGCCGUUUCCGAGCAGCAAUUCAAUCCCCUGGGUGACAGAUGCAGAGAGAUGCUGGUGUUGAGUGGCUCAGCCCUGACGAAGCCUUCCCCUGACUCAGGAGACUGAACCUCUGUCGAGCCAGAGCCGUGGUUACACCCCUUCCCACGACUGCCAUGGCCUUGGAGAGACGUCUCCCCAGGGCUCCUUCUCCUGGCAUUGCUGAUGCCCCUCUGGCCCGAACGGCAUCAGGGCUGCCCAUGGCAGAUCUGGGUCCUAUUCUCCCUAAGUCUCAUAUUCCUCUCCUCUCUGCUCCCUCCCUGCCUCCUCCAUCAAGAAGCAGCGUGCUCACUGGCAGGGCCAUGGUGCUGCUUUGUACCCAGGAGCACAGCAUCCGGACAGCUGAGCUGGACACCAAGCCACGGCUCCCCAGAUACAGGAGCACAAAGUGGCUUGCGUGGCUUGAGAGUCAAUGAUAACCUCACAGCCUCUUGCUGUCCCCGGCUUGCCACGGAGACGCUCCCUGGCCUGGCAACUGCAUUCCCACCAGUCACCAGAAUAGCAUUCACGCAAUGCAUGCCCAGAAGGGCCAGCAAAGAGGCCUGUGCCCUCCCCUGGCACUGCGGGGCACAAGCCAGGUGCUGUCUGCGUAGCUCAGGCUGAAAGCGCUGACCCACCAUGAGCAUCCCUUUGAUGUCACGUUGGUGUGACCAGUCACCACAGUUGGUCAGACGCCGAGAUACACUCCCAGCAGGAAAUGCCCCAUCAGCACCCCCGUCAGACCUCCCACACCUAGAGCGGAGGGGUGUGCAUUGCUGGAGAAAGUCGGGGGUACUCUUCUUCUCAGCAGAGGGAAGGGAACAUUUGAAUAGUCUCUACCCCCAAUAAAUAGCUCCCAGUUGGAGGCACGCACACUCAUCAACCAAAAUAGCUCCAUGACUUAGCAUGAGUCCCACUGAAGCUGGAGGCUUGUGACGUUCUAUGGCUCCUACCAAGUCACCAGACACCCUCAGGAAACGUCGUGGCAUCUGCCACGAAUGCCCACGUGAAACGUCUGUCAGUUUUCUAGCAGGAUGGAAGGUGCUGGUGUCUCAGCCGUAAGUGGCAGAGCUGGGGGUGAAGGAGGGUGAAGUUAUAUCCCCUGAGAGCCAUUUCAUUUCUCCCUCUCUUUCACACUUUGCUUCUGAGGGUUUGCCCCUAAGCAGGAAAUCAUUCAGCCACCAUAGGGAACUGAUGAAACUUGCUCACUGAAAUCCACCUGACGGGGGUUUGGUGUCAGGACACAAAGCCACCUGUCCAAGGCUCACUCGAGGCCUAACCCCCAGGGCUAGCUUUGGGAUCCACUAAAUGCUGGCAGCCGUGGUGGAUCCUUGCAACUCCCAACAUGCAGUCUGCUGGGGUUUGCUGUCCCAGCUCCAGUUUGGGCCUCAAAGAGGGGAAAGGGAUGCAGAGCAGUUACUGGAACCAAGAGACCAAACAAAACAAAGCCAGGGGUCAAAGAAAAUAAGGCCAGGAUCAUCUCGGGUGGAACCUCACAACAUCAGUUACCCCAAGGUUAAGUUUGGCCCAGUGUAUGUGUGUGUUCUUAAAGCCAGAGGUCUCUCAGAGCAAGCAUCUCCGUGGCUGCCCUAGCAGCUGGUGUCUCCUGGAUACCGGACGAGGGGUCUGGGAAACAAGAGAGCGGAUUUCAAACGAAGACAGACCAGGCAAAUACCAGGACAAAACAAAGGGAAGGCGGCGAGUGCAGUGUACAUAAUCUCCCGCUGCUGCUGUUCCCAGGCUCCGGGUUCAUUACUUUCGACUGUGCAGCAGAACAUGGGGAUCAGUUGGUGCCGCAUGCCCAGGCCGUUAUCGUUAUAUGAUGAGACACCUUCAUUUCACGCAAUUAUUGGGUUAAAAAGACCACCAAGCCAGCCCAGCAGCUGAUGAUCCAGCAAUGUGUGGCCUUGUUUUCUGUAUGGGUGGUAAGUAAACAAAAUACUUUAAAAAUAUCAAAUACUGUUCUGAAUGUAACGUGGAAACUAUCAAACUCAAACUGCACAGUGUGCAUCGUGCAAAAGACACAACAGAGCACAACACACCAUUUAUUUUCAUGAGUCAAAAGUCAAGCUGAAUGAAUGGUGUUAAUUGAAUCUGAUGUUCUAUUAAUAAUGCCAUUGUUUGUAGAAUAAAUUAUUCAUCAGGUA